ACUUCGAUUUGUUUGAAGAUGAAUUUUCAGCUCGAAUAUUCGAGUAGUUCGAUUUUGUUUCAAACAGUUCGUCGAUUUCGAAUAAUUCGGCAAAUUCAAACUCGACUCGAUCGACCGAUCAUUGUUUCACUCGAAAUUCGAAUACUCGCAGACCUCUAAUUUCCGGUGCUAGAAAAUCUCCGCGUUCCUUAAACCGUUAGACGGAAUUUUAUUAGCGGCCCUCGUUUGUCAAAUAUAAUAAUUUUUCGCGGAUAUCAAAAUUAUCCCUUAACCCCUUAACUUGUACGCUCGAGUUAAUUCGAGCGGCGUUGUAUUUAAAUUAAAAAAAAUUGAUUUCUUUUGACCGAUUUUUUUCAAAAAAAACUGUGCGUUAAGGGGUUAAGGAUUCGUUUGGCGAAAAUUGGAAAAUUUUCUGGCGGAGGUUGAGAAUGUUGGAAAAUCAAUAUAAGGCGCAGAGUCUUUACCCUGUAAAGCUCGUCGGAGGACGCUGAUCCCCGGGUAAAUUGAAACUUAUGAGUUUUCCAAGCGUCAAGCCGUCCGGUUCCUCUUCUUACUUCGCUCCGCCAUUCUUCUUCAGCGUUAAGGAGACCUCGUCUCCUUGGUAACUGAUACGCCUUAUUAGCUACUCUCCUCACCUUAUGAGCCUCAGGAGGAUCAUGCGCUCACAGGACCUCUGCUCCUGAAUUUCUUGCGCAGUAACCUAACUCCUUCUUCUAUCACUAUAUUCUACUCUAAACUUCUUUCGCUAUUACAGCUACGUAUGUACCUUCCAGAACUUUCAUAGCCUUUUUAGGAAGGUUAUUUCUAAGAAAUUUCUACGAAUAAGAAUCUUUGAUCAAUUUUUAUCGAUCGACAUUCCUUUUCUUUUUAUUAGAUGUAUUCCAAAGCGUUUAGGUGGAUAGAAGUUUUUCAUUGGGUAUCCAACUGUUAACUAUUUGUCAGAUUCGGACAUUCAAAGAUAUUUAAGCGAUUUGGGUGGGCUACCGUCGGCUCGGCGCACUCAUUCAGGAAAAUUUCCUGGCCACAGGCCAUUCGAAGGCACCGUAGGGCACCCAUGGCUAGCGACAAUACCUAGCGUCAAUGGAGAAUACAUGGAAAAUACAAAUAUUUUGGGUAGACACGAUUUCACGCGACGACGCCCCCCCUUUGCCAAUAGUGACACCAAAAUCGCUACACAUUUCCCCUUCUUGGACUGCAGCUGAAAAAAUUCAUUCCUCGAGAAGGAUCCUUGUUAAUGGCAGGAUUACACGAACGAUAUGUUUUUCCAUACAAGAUUACACAUAGGGUGUGUUGGUUUGGGUAAAGGGAUAAGGUUCACUUUUAGAAUUCUUCUAUCUGAGAAUUUUUAUAAAAUCAACAAUUGGAUUAUUUAAAUUUAAUUUUAGAUUAUUCUUCUGUUUCAUUUUCUAUAUUUUUUAUUUCCAUACAAGAUUACAGGCAGAGUGUUGGUUUGGAUAAAGGGAUAAGGUUCAUUUUUAGAAUUUUUAUAAAAUCAAUAAUUGGAUAAUUUUAAUUUAAUUUUAGAUUAUACUUCAGUUCCAUUUUCUAUAUUUUCUACUUCCAUACAGGAUUACAGACAGGGUGUUGGUUUGGGUAAUUCUUCUAACUGAGAAUUUUAAAAAAUCAACCCUUGGACAAUUGGAUAAUUUAAAUUUAAUUUUGGAUUAUUCUUCAGUUUCAUUUUCUAUAUUUUCUACUUCCAUACAAGAUUACAGACAGGGUGUUGGUUUGGGUAAUUCUUCUAACUGAGAAUAUUUAUAAAAUCAACCCUUGGACAAUUGGAUAAUUUGAAUUUAAUUUUAGAUUAUUCUUCAGUUUCAUUUUCUAUAUUUUUUACCAUCCUCUUUGGAAAUUAUUUUUACACGAUUAAAAAUUUAGCAAAGGUUUAAAUCAUUCCAAGGUAUCAAAGGUGUCUUUGAAGAAUAUAAUUUUCGGCCAGCUGGUCGUCUUGGCUACCAUAAAACAGAAUUUGUCAACGAUCCAUUCGACUUUAGGACCAACAAAGAUUCCCGAAAAUUUCACGCCCAUUACCAUUGUCAAUGGGCAGAUGCCUCGUAACAAAAGGACGCGAGUCACUCGCACCUUUCUAUCCAUUCUUCCAAAUCGACCUUAAUAUGUCGGGUGACACCUUUCGAAAAGAAGGUGUCGCUGCCUAUCUUCUUUAAAUAUUCAAAAAAGUAUCCUUCGAAUAAUUAAAAAAUAUCGAGCGAUCGUUUUCGCUUCUGACCCACGGAAUAAUGUCGUCAAAUAACGGGAACAACGAUCGUCGACAGGAUAAUCCUCGGGAGGGUACGAGCGGAACGAGGAAAGCGGAUAUUGUCUUAGGCGAGUUUCGAAGGCUUGACAGGGGGUUCGAAACUCUCUCCCUUCCCAUAAACGUAUUCAUGGCUGUAACAGGGGUGCGAAUGGGGUGGAAACGUCACCGAAUCACCGUUGUCGAUAUGAACGCCUCGUACUCGGCUAAUAAAGAUUGAUGAGCUUUAAUUAAAUGCUCGAUAAAAACGGUGUGUGCGAUGCCAGGCAUGGGACAAUGCUCGGUUAACGAGGCUUUUUAAAUCGACCGCUGUCGAAUCAUCACUCGUUCCACGAACCUUUCGUAAAUCUUUGUUACACCGAAGGGUGCAAAGAAAAGGGGUGAAUCUUAGGAUUACAAGGUUACAUCAAUUAUUUAACCAAAUUAUUUUUACAUAUCAAGGAAACAGAUUCUGACUGUCAACGAUAUAUUUGCCUUAAUAUCCCUUUCAACCCUCUUUUCGUGUCUCAUUUAGGGCUUUCCUUCAAUUUUCCUAUCGUUGUCGUUUCGCGUUAUUUCCGAUGACUUUGUAUAUCUUUCCUAAUCGAUGAAUCUACCUUUCAACAAUAGCAGAGUAGUAUGUUAAUAAAGACAAAAAGAAUUAUUAAAUUACAUACAGUGUUUCAAAAAUUGUCGAAAUUUGAUUUGCCUUAUCCAAUAAAGAUUUGAAUCUCUUCAUUCAUAUGUUAACGACGAUCGUUCAACAUCGAACCUCUGAUUCUAAUAUCUCGUAACGUAAUCCAGGCUUAUAAGCCUCAGCCAACACUCAUUCUCUCUCCCUUUCUUUCCAUUUCGGGUAGCGAUAGAGGUCUCGCCUCUAUGACAAGUAUAUUACUCGCUGCGUUUAUAUCAAUUAGCCUUUGACGUUUCGGGGGUGUGUGCUCGACCCGUAAGCUAAAAGGGUGGCCGAACUGACUGCAGCAGAGAACACACCUUUAAAACCCUCUUCUCUAACAUCCCUAAUUUUUUUAUACUACUUAUUUCUUUUUUUUUCAUUUUAAAAUUUCUUCCAAUUUUAAAUAAAAUCGAUCGUCUGUUCAGAAAUAUAUGCAGUAGAGAACACUUCUCUAACAUCCCUAAUUUUUCUAUACUACUUAUUUCUUCUUUUUUCAUUUAAAAUUUUUUUUCAAUUUUAAAUAAAAUCGAUCGUCUGUUCAGAAAUAUAUGCAGUAGAGAACACUUCUCUAACAUCCCUAAUUUUUCUAUACUACUUAUUUCUUUUUUUCUCAUUUUAAAAUUUCUUCCAAUUUCAAAUAAAAUCGAUCAUCUGUUCAGAAAUAUAUGCAGUAGAGAACACACCUCUAAAACCCUCUUCUCCUCUAACAUCCCUAAUUUUUCUAUACUAAUUAUUUCUUCUUUUUUCAUUUAAAAAUUUCUUCCAAUUUCAAAUAAAAUCGAUCGUCUGUUCAGAAAUAUAUGAAGAGAAAUUUCGUGAACGUCGAUGGAUCAUCGAUCUGUCGUUGGAAAAUGGAAAAGCAGAGGGGUAGUUAAAAAAAAAAGUGACGGAAACACGGGACACGCCUUACACGUCGCACCAUUACGACGCUUUAAAUGGAUUUAAACGACCAUACCGGUGACAAUGCCGACGACACGCAACCGGCCUCGCAACAUUCACCAGCUGGCCAACGAUUUUUGAUUUAUCGUCCAUCCUGACUUUUGCCCCUUCGAGAAGGGUCCUGGAGAGGAGCAGAGCGAUGGAAUUGUCCUAAGUGCUGAUCUAGUUGACACCACAUUGUGGCUUCGAGUAGUUCCCCGAAAUUCUGCUCUCUCUAUCUCUUUGAGAUCGUCGUUUUAUCAGUCGAAAUGUUUAUCGAAGAUCGAUCAAGGAAUCUAUUCCGAAGCCUCGUUCCAUUCACCAAAAUCGAGCACAACUAAACAAUCGUAAACUCUGGAGGAUUCGCAAAACGCCUUUGAAACUGGACUUAAUACUGCAACACACGCGCGUUAAAGGUAUCGAGGAAAGACCGCAAAUAUCUAUUACAUAACCGAGUCACUGCGUGCCCUGUUGCUACCAUGAGAAACCGCAGGGAAAUACGAACGACAAACCCGGUAGGAAAAAUUGAAGAGAAAAUAAGGUACGCUUCUUCUGCUUUGCUCCGUUGCGUCUCACCUGGAUGAAGACUCGACCGCGCAUGCACCAACUACGUCUCUCCCGAGGUACUUCCUGUACGCUCUCAGAGCGUUCCGGCGCUCCCUUCGAGGCGAUCCUUUUUUCUCCCUCUCCCUCUUCCUUCGAAAAGCUGAAAGGAACUCGCCCGAUCGUGCUUUUCGACAGCAACUCGCUGGAACGACUAACUUGGAUGAUGAAGCGUUGAUCAGCGAACCUUUGCCCGACUCCGUAUCUCUGCGGUUUCUUCGUGAUCACGCACGUUCAUGGCCAACAGACUACGCGGAGGAUCGAUCGAUCUCCUCUGCUGCGACACCCGGCGCAAUUCGUUCCGUUCUACGAUCCGAGGAUCGGCAACGAGAAACUCGUAUCCGCCUUCAGUUAUCUUCGACAAGUUUUCGUUCUUCGUUGAUAAACUGCUGGGAUUAUUAUUACUUGCUUUUUAUUUAUUGGUUUUUGAUCGAUAUAUACGAUUCAUAGAGGCUAGUACAUAAUUUAGACGCUUGGAAAGUUAUUUAGAGAAUCUUUUAAUCUUGAAGACUGUGGUCCUGGAAAUCUUAAUAUCUCCUAUGUUAUGGACGCAUUUUUGUAUUAGAUAAAGAAACAAGAUUUUAGAUUCUCUUAAUUUUAUUUCUUGACAGACUUGUGUUUUAAAAAGACUGCCUAGAAUUAAGUAUUUUUAAAAUUCGAUCGAUGCGCCAUCUAUACAGCGACGGCGGAAACUAUUCGACGAGUUACCGAUCGACUUUCCGAAACCAUCCCCUUCAUUUAUUAUUUUAUCCUUCUUUACAGGCCUAAAAUCCUUUUCAGUUAUUGAUUAUUUUAUCCUAUUUUAUGAGCCAGGAUCCAAAAUUCCUAAUUAUUUAAUAUUUUAUUCCUCUUUAUGGGCUUCUCGGGGAGCAUCCUUUCCAGUUAUUUAUUAUCCUAUUCCUCUUUAUGGACCUCAGUCUUAUAGCGACCGCCGAGUGAUGCGAAUCAACCUGUUUGUACAUAUACCCUUAUUUUAUCGUCUGUGUUCAUUAAAUUUGCUGUAUUUAUCUUCAUAACUUAUUGAAUAAACUCAUUAGGAGGAUGAA